GUUAGGAAUCUUCCACAAUGGGGGCAACCCUGAUGGAGCAACACUGCGUGCUGGAUGAAGGCCUUCGGGUCGUAAACAGCUUUUGUAUACGAAGAAUAUGACGGUAAUAUACGAAUAAGGGUCGGCUAACUACGUGCCAGCAGCCGCGGUCAUACGUAGGACCCAAGCGUUAUCCGGAGUGACUGGGCGUAAAGAGUUGCGUAGGCGGCUUAUUAAGCGAGUAGUGAAAUCUGGUGGCUCAACCAUCAACACAUUGCUCGAACUGAUAGGCUUGAGAAUGGUAGAGGUAGUUGGAAUUUCUUGUGUAGGAGUGAAAUCCGUAGAUAUAAGAAGGAACACCAAUGGCGUAGGCAGACUACUGGACCAUUUCUGACGCUGAGGCACGAAAGCGUGGGGAGCGAACCGGAUUAGAAACCCCGGUAGUCC
rnacentral:rRNA from 1 species